AGCUUUGCGCAGUGGCAGUAUCGUAGCCAAUGAGGUUUAUCCGAGGCGUGAUUAUUGCUAAUUAAAAAUUAUACUUCCUGACUCACAACAGGUGCUGCUCAGAAACUGUUAAGAUAGUAAACAAAAUGCUUUA
rnacentral:snRNA from 1 species